rnacentral:lncRNA from 1 species
AUGACGCUUUGGAGCAUCACCCUGAGACUGGGACUAAAGUCUACCAGGGCCAGGGGAACCGAGAAGAGCAGGCUGCAGAGGUGGCUCCGCCUGCCUGGGGCAGGCAAGAAACCCAAGACGCUGGUCAGGCUUGAUGUCUGGGUGCUUCUGGCAACCUGCUGCGCCAUUGUCUGGCUGAAUAAGAGACACGCAGGUGAUGCGAAUGAAUACAGCUCAGAAUUCUUCCGAAGGAAGAAAAGGACGACGAACCCGGCGACCUGCAGUGUGGAGAUGGAGAGAUCCGGCAGCCACCGUUGCGCACUUCCCAGACAUACCAGGGGGGAGGAAAAGGAAAGGCGACGGACCUGGGAAUUAAGGCUCUGCAGCCUCACGUGCCAGGAGCAUUCUCCAUCUCUUCCUUCUCUCACCCCUUGCCCCCACCAGUCUCCACUGAAACUGGAGCUGCCCACAGGCUGUCAGAUGAGAGAUAAAGGAGCCUGGCGGCACCCAGGCGCUGACCGGAUCUGGGUUUUCCCAAACUGUGGAGCAGCACCUGAGACCCUACUUCCCCAGGUAGCACUGACCCAGUUCGAGAGAAACGGGUCGAGUGAACAGUAUGCAUAUUCUCCCUCCGGGAAAAACAGCCGCGUCUGUAUGUGGAGUGUGCAUAGAUACAUCCUGUACCCGUGUGUCUGUACACACAUACGUGUGCAUUUGUCAUGCAUCUAG